rnacentral:rRNA from 1 species
AUUGAACGCUGGCGGAAUGCUUUACACAUGCAAGUCGAACGGCAGCACGGGGGCAACCCUGGUGGCGAGUGGCGAACGGGUGAGUAAUACAUCGGAACGUGCCCGGUCGUGGGGGAUAACGUAGCGAAAGUUACGCUAAUACCGCAUACGAUCUGAGGAUGAAAGCGGGGGACCUUCGGGCCUCGCGCGAUCGGAGCGGCCGAUGUCAGAUUAGGUAGUUGGUGGGUAAAGGCCUACCAAGCCGACGAUCUGUAGCUGGUCUGAGAGGACGACCAGCCACACUGGGACUGAGACACGGCCCAGACUCCUACGGGAGGCAGCAGUGGGGAAUUUUGGACAAUGGGCGCAAGCCUGAUCCAGCCAUUCCGCGUGCAGGACGAAGGCCUUCGGGUUGUAAACUGCUUUUGUAUGGAACGAAAAGGCUCUGGCUAAUACCUGGGGCUCAUGACGGUACCGUAAGAAUAAGCACCGGCUAACUACGUG